rnacentral:rRNA from 1 species
GUAGGUGGCAAGCGUUGUCCGGAAUUAUUGGGCGUAAAGCGCGCGCAGGCGGUUCUUUAAGUCUGAUGUGAAAGCCCACGGGCUCAACCGUGGAGGGUCAUUGGAAACUGGAGAACUUGAGUACAGAAGAGGAAAGCGGAAUUCCACGUGUAGCGGUGGAAUGCGUAGAGAUGUGGAGGAACACCAGUGGCGAAGGCGGCUUUCUGGUCUGUAACCGACGCUGAGGCGCGAAAGCGUGGGGAGCAAACAGGAUUAGAUACCCUGGUAGUCCACGCCGUAAACGAUGAGUGCUAAGUGUUAGGGGGUUUCCGCCCCUUAGUGCUGCAGCUAACGCAUUAAGCACUACGCCUGGGGAGUACGGCCGCAAAGGCUG